AUACCGCAUAUUUGAGUUCAUCUCACAAUAUGCGCCGUUAUCAAAGCUCUAUCCUAUUAUUCUAUGUCAUCAUUCACCUCCUUUUUGUGGAAAAAACUAAUAAAUGUGAUAAGCCGGAAUUUAUUUAUCCAUCCAUACAGCGUCGGUACUUAGUCACUAGAUUUACGGGUUAUCUCCCCUUUUCUAUGCAUCAAUGAAAGCGAAAGGUGGGUGAUGAAAGUAUCCGAUUUAUGUUUUUGUAUUUAGUUCUCUCUUGCCAGCUGGAUAUUGAUAAUGGAAUCUGAGACCCAAAGCAAUAUACUAGUAACUUGGAAAGAUAUAAAUUCAGGAGGGGGGGGGGCGUUAGACCCAAUUAAUUUGAAGGGUCAGACUAGAAUUAUUUUAAUGCAGGAUAGUUCUAAAGUGGGUUGGCAAUGAGAGAGUGAUGUUCACGAUGGAUGGGUUGCUGAGGGUUUUGAGUAGGCUAGGAGUCCAUGGUGGGUGGUUAAAUUGAAGUUGCCUACCCCCACCAGGUGGCGGUGGGCACCUACGGUGCCCAUGUGGCGAAA